GAGUUUGAUCCUGGCUCAGAACGAACGCUGGCGGCGUGGAUAAGACAUGCAAGUCGAGCGCUAAUUUCAGUGUAGCAAUAUAUUGAAGUUGGAGCGGCGCAAGGGUGCGUAACACGUGGGUAAUUUGCCAUGAAGUUGGGGAUAACUCGCUGAAAGGCGAGCUAAUACCGGAUGUGGUUUUUGGGAGGCAUCUUCUGGAAACCAAAGCUGGGGAUCGUAAGACCUGGCGCUUUAUGAUAAGCCCGCGGCCUAUCAGCUAGUUGGUGAGGUAACGGCUCACCAAGGCUAAGACGGGUAGCUGGUCUGAGAGGACGACCAGCCACACUGGAACUGAGACACGGUCCAGACACCUACGGGUGGCAGCAGUCGAGAAUUUUUCUCAAUGGGCGAAAGCCUGAAGGAGCGACGCCGCGUGGGGGAUGAAGGGUCUCGAUCCGUAAACCCCUGUCAUUCGUGAACAAUGGUUAUCAUUUAAAAGAUGAUGACUUGAUAGUAACGGAAGAGGAAGGGACGGCUAACU
rnacentral:rRNA from 1 species